rnacentral:rRNA from 1 species
UACGUAGGGCGCAAGCGUUGUCCGGAAUUAUUGGGCGUAAAGGGAGCGUAGGCGGGUUUCUAAGUCAGGUGUUUAAUCCCGGGGCCCAACCCCGGACAGGCACUUGAAACUGGGAAUCUUGAAUAGUGGAGAGGUCAGUGGAAUUGGGGGUGUAGCGGUGGAAUGCGUAGAGAUCCCCAAGAACACCAGUUGCGAAGGCGGCUGACUGGACACAUAUUGACGCUGAGGCUCGAGAGCAUGGGGAGCAAACAGG